rnacentral:rRNA from 1 species
AUUGAACGCUGGCGGCAUGCUUUACACAUGCAAGUCGAACGGCAGCGCGGGCUUCGGCCUGGCGGCGAGUGGCGAACGGGUGAGUAAUACAUCGGAACGUGCCCAGUAGUGGGGGAUAGCUCGGCGAAAGCCGGAUUAAUACCGCAUACGACCUGAGGGUGAAAGCGGGGGAUCUUCGGACCUCGCGCUAUUGGAGCGGCCGAUGGCAGAUUAGCUAGUUGGUGGGGUAAAGGCCUACCAAGGCGACGAUCUGUAGCUGGUCUGAGAGGACGACCAGCCACACUGGGAAUGAGACACGGCCCAGACCCCGACGGGAGGAAGCAGUGGGGAUUUUUGGACAAUGGGCGCAAGCCUGAUCCAGCAAUGCCGCGUGGGUGAAGAAGGCCUGCGGGUUGGAAAGCCCUUGGGGGGGGAAAGAAAAGGAGUGUGCAAAUACCCCGUUGCAAUGGCGAUACCCAAAGAAUAAGCACCGGCUAACUCCGUG